AGGAAAGGCACAUUCUGAAGAUAGUCAUUGCAUGGUUUAAUAAAAAUUGUAGGUAGCCAGGAUGGCAAAACGAAAUCUAGAUUUGGUUUUAAAAAAAGCUAAAAAUAGGAGCUCAAUAAAAUAUCCCAGCUGCUUUUCUAGUUUCCUUCAAAUUCUACCUGCAGUGAUGAGAAAAAUAACUCAACAUUUGCUUGGAGCCUUGGGAACUUUUAAGAUUUGCAAAAUUUAUUUGUGGAGAGUUAAAGCCCUCUCUUCAUGCUCCUUCCUGUGCUGUUCUCUUCUUUCCCCUGUUCGCUAUCUGAUAAGGGAUUCUGCCUUGGACUUGUCAUGCCGGACACCCCUCAGGACUUCCAGGGAGGAUGUUGAAGAGACCUGGGCCAGCAUGCACAGUGAUUGAGCCAGGAAGUCUCAGAGUGUCACCGCGGGAUUCCCGUCCACCCACGUUCCACAUGCACUUUGGUACCACCUGAUUGCACUUGCCUACUCUGACUUAAAUAUCAAUGAGGAUCCUCCAUCCUUCAGCUGGCUGGAAUUUCCAAGACAGUGGCCAUGAUUCCAGGACCCUCCCACUUAAAUGGUAUCCAUGUUGUUCACCUGAUCCAAAGAGAUUCAGUCAGAAGACUCCUAGGAGAGCUGCUAUCUGUGCCUUAGCUUCCCAAGACUAGAUAAUUUACUAUUUAUCUUCCCUAUCUUGCCCUUGGCAUCGUAUUUCACUACCCCCAUCUUUGAGAUAAGAACUCUUCAAACUGCAUAGGUCCACCAUGAACAUCAGCCCUGCACAAAACUAUAUUCUCCAUACAAAUUGAUUGUGCAUGCUCUGUUGAUCAAAUAUUCUGGUGUAACUAUCUGUGUUAUUACCUUCCUUAGGUCUGUCUUUAAGACAUCUUGAAUGAGGACUAAAAGACAUGGAGAUGCGGUGGUCUUUACAGAUGAGAUGCUACUAGAUUCAUGGUACCCAGACUCCCAGUGCCAUUGCCUUUCAAUCCCCAUAUUUUUUAACAGUGUCAGGUGUGUUUCCUCACCCAGAUGAGGGGCUCAAUGUGAUUAUAUCUUCUAUUUCUUCUGUAACCACAUCCCAAUGAGCUUGACCUAAACAUAUUUUUAAAAUGCUUAUCUAAUGCUUCACGUAUAGUUGGUACCAAAUAAAUGUGUGCCUCCUGUGUGACUUUCUCCCUUCCUUCAAAGCAUAGGUUCUGAAGCUAAAAUCGCUC
rnacentral:lncRNA from 10 species